GGGCGGUUAGCUCAGUUGGUUCAGAGCACCUGGUUUACACCCAGGGGGUCAUAGGUUCGAAUCCUAUACCGCCCA
rnacentral:tRNA from 1 species